AUUUGAAGUUUAUAUUUAACUAAUUUAAGAACUUUUCGUGCUAGGCAACUGAGGAAGCUCAACAUGUAAAAAAGUUGAUACAUGACUAUUUUGCUUCUUUCAUCAAAGUUGGAGAUAAGGCAACUGAGGAAGCUCAACAUCUAAAAAAGUUGAUACAAGACUAUAUUGCUUCUUUCAUCAAAGUAGGAGAUAAGGCAACUGAGGAAGCUCAACAUCUAAAAAAGUUGAUACAAGACUAUAUUGCUUCUUUCAUCAAAGUAGGAGAUAAGAUUUGGAAAGAAAAAGUGGUAGGGGG